AAUUAAGAUUACAAGAAUUUUUGUUGAUAUAUGAGUAUUGUUUUAGAUUUUUUGGGUGAUAGGUUGUAUUUUUAAAAUAAAAUUCUCAAAAAUUUUAUUUCUGGAAAGUUUUCAUUUUUAUAGAGAAAUGUUUUAGAUUUGGGAUUGUGAAUUAGAAAAUAGGAUUACAAGAAUUUUUGUUGAUAGAUGAGUAUUGUUUUAGAUUUUUUUAUCAAUAGGUGGUAUUUUAUAAAUAAAAUUCUUAAAAAUUCUAUUUUAGGAAAGUUUUCAUUUUUAUUGGUAAAUAUUGUAGAUUUGGGACUGUGAUUUAGAAAAUAGGAUAACAAGAAUUUGUUUUGAUAUAUGGGUAUUGUUUUAGAUUUUUUGGGUGAUAGGCUGUAUUUUUGAAAUAAAAUUCUCAAAAAUUCUAUUUUUAGAAAGUUUUUAUUUUUAUAGAGAAAUAUUUUAGAUUUGGGAUUGUGAAUUAGAAAAUAGGAUAACAAGAAUUUUUGUUGAUAGAUGAGUAUUGUUUUAGAUUUUU
rnacentral:lncRNA from 1 species